rnacentral:misc_RNA from 1 species
AAGUCGUAACAAGUUUCCGUAGGUGAACCUGCGGAAGGAUCAUUAAAAAAUUCUGCCAUUGUUUGUGGAACAUAAUCAUCCUACCUUUGUGAAUUUGUGUUGUAAUAAUUUUUAAAGAAAAUUAUUUACUGUCUAUCCGGAUAGUAAAAGUUGGAAGAGUAAUCUAGAAACUUUUGCUUUCAGGAAUAGUAUGUAAUAAAUUUUCGUUUAAAGACCUUUUUUUAAAUUAAACUUUGUAUUCAUUGUCUAAAUUUAUUUUAAUAAUUAAAACAACUUUUGACAAUGAUCUCUUGUUCUCGCAACGAUGAGAACGCAGCAAAAUGCGAUAAGUAGUGUGAAUUGCAGAAUACGUGAUCAUCAAAUCUUCGAACGCAUAUUGCACUUUUUAGUUUACUAAAAAAGUAUGUCUGUUGAGUAUCAGUAAAAUAUUCUCAAUAAACUUUUUGUUUAUUGUUAUGAGUGUUUACAACGAUACAAGUUGUUUCACUUUAAAUUGACUUAUAUAAACCUAUCCAUUAGGUCAAUUUUUAAAAUGGAUAAAUUUCCUGUAAAAGGGAAUAACUUGACAGUUUUAAAGAAAGAUCUAAAAAGGUUUCUUAAAAGGAAAUUUAUAAUAAACUAACUUGAUCUCAAAUCAGAUAAGAGUACCGCUGAACUUAAGCAUAUCAAUAGCGGAGGAAAAGAAACUAACAAGGAUUCCCUAGUAACGGCGAGUGAAGCGGAAGAGCUCAAAUUUGAAAUCUUCAAGGGUUCCCUUGACGAAUUGUAGUUUAGAAGUGUUUCUGUUAGAGAGUGUAAAGUUCUUUGGAAUAGGACAUCAUAGAGGGUGAGAACCCGUAUUUGAUCACUUUCUACUACGUGUGAUACACUUUCAACGAGUCGGAUUGUUUGGGAAUGCAGUCCAAUGGUGGUAAUUCAUCUAAAGCUAAAUAUUGCGAGAGACGAUAACGAACAGUACCGUAGGGAAGAUGAAAGAACUUGGAAAGAGAGUUAACAGUACGUGAAUUGUCAAAAGGGAGCGUUUGACACCAGUGUGUUUUCCGAAAAUCAAUUACGAAUGGCGGAUUCUAAGUUUCAUGACCUUAAAAGCUUGUUCUUUCUUUCCUGUCUUCUUAAUGCACUUUCGGUUAACAGUCACAUCAAUUCUUUUGUGUAAAGGUUAAGAGGAGGUGGCUUACUUUCGGGUAAAGUGUUUAUAGCCUUUAACUCUGCAAUCGGAGAGAUUGAGGUCUGCAGCGUAGAUCCUUCGGGCUAGAUACGUUGUGCUAAGUUAUAGCUUUUCAUAGACAACUGUUGACUAUGUUAGUCUGUAGCUACUCGCAGAUGCUAUUUUACUACGCUUAGGUGUU